UACGGAGGGAGCUAGCGUUGUUCGGAAUUACUGGGCGUAAAGCGCACGUAGGCGGCUUUGUAAGUUAGAGGUGAAAGCCCGGGGCUCAACUCCGGAACUGCCUUUAAGACUGCAUCGCUUGAAUCCGGGAGAGGUGAGUGGAAUUCCGAGUGUAGAGGUGAAAUUCGUAGAUAUUCGGAAGAACACCAGUGGCGAAGGCGGCUCACUGGACUGGUAUUGACGCUGAGGUGCGAAAGCGUGGGGAGCAAACAGG
rnacentral:rRNA from 1 species